UGGAAUCCCAUGUGUUGUCAAGUUGCAAUUUUGCAAAUCAGAAAAGUCAUAUUUCACUGAGUCGGUAAGUUUAUUGGUUUAUUAAGCCAUUGAGUCGCAUUGCACCCUGAUGCACCCUACUUUAGUAUUUUACUCUGUCUAACGCCAGACGAUUUUACUCAUCAAGGGGAGAGCACUGGUGCUUAAUGGGUUAACUGGCCUAUCUGCCCAUGUGUCUAGUUAAUCCAUUGAGUCGCAUUGCACCCUGAUGCACCCUACUUUAGUAUUUUACUCUGUCUAACGCCAGACGAUUUUACUUGUCAAGGGGAGAGCGCUGGCGCUUAAUGGGUUAAUAUUUUUUCUAAGAUGUGUUUUGUAAUUAUAUAUUGAUUGCAUUGCCUUUAGCUGCUAACAUUAUAAUGGUUGUGUGAUUUCUAUGCAUGGGUUUUUAUUAUUUAGGACAAAAUGGUGUCCGUAGAAACAGUAGGUGGUAAACUGAAAGAAGCUGCAACAAAGAAAGCUGAUGAAAGUAUUCAAAUUGCUGAUAAGGACCUAGCAUUGAAAGUGGAAUACCGUAAACAAUGUUACGAAAAGUACAUGUGUAAAAGGUUUCCACAACUUGUUUUCCAUAGACCAGAGUUAUGAAACAAGAGUGAAAAUGUUUAUGCAGAGUGCCUCAGUCAAGAAAAAGUUUUAUGGAUGAUGACACAGAAACAUCUCAGAGUUCACACAAGAGUCUGAUUCUGAUGUUGGCAUUGUAACGAAAACAUCGACAUACACAAGUGCAACAUUGAAAGAAAUGUAUACAGUUGGCCUAACACUGAGAAACAACUUGCAUAAUUGUACAUCAGCUUGGUACAAGAACUGGCCACCACAUGCAUCAGAUAUUACUGGAAUAAUGUUGAUGUGUUGAUAGUUGCCUGUGCAACAGCUGAAUCAUAUGCCAUUGCCAAAGAUAGUGAGAGGCAAUGUCCAAAACCACUCAAAAUCUUAAAUAUCAGGCCAGAACAACCAAACAUCUGCUGAAUGGUCAUUGUUAGUGCUAG